GCUUAACACAUGCAAGUCGAGCCGUAGCAUUUCAGUUUGCUUGCAAACUGGAGAUGGCGACCGGCGCACGGGUGAGUAACACGUAUCCAACCUGCCGAUAACUCGGGGAUAGCCUUUCGAAAGAAAGAUUAAUACCCGAUGGCAUAAUUAGACCGCAUGGUCUUGUUAUUAAAGAAUUUCGGUUAUCGAUGGGGAUGCGUUCCAUUAGGCAGUUGGUGAGGUAACGGCUCACCAAACCUUCGAUGGAUAGGGGUUCUGAGAGGAAGGUCCCCCACAUUGGAACUGAGACACGGUCCAAACUCCUACGGGAGGCAGCAGUGAGGAAUAUUGGUCAAUGGGCGCAGGCCUGAACCAGCCAAGUAGCGUGAAGGAUGACUGCCCUAUGGGUUGUAAACUUCUUUUAUAUGGGAAUAAAGUUUUCCACGUGUGGAAUUUUGUAUGUACCAUAUGAAUAAGGAUCGGCUAACUCCGUGCCAGCAGCCGCGGUAAUACGGAGGAUCCGAGCGUUAUCCGGAUUUAUUGGGUUUAAAGGGAGCGUAGGUGGACAGUUAAGUCAGUUGUGAAAGUUUGCGGCUCAACCGUAAAAUUGCAGUUGAUACUGGCUGUCUUGAGUACAGUAGAGGUGGGCGGAAUUCGUGGUGUAGCGGUGAAAUGCUUAGAUAUCACGAAGAACUCCGAUUGCGAAGGCAGCUCACUGGACUGCAACUGACACUGAUGCUCGAAAGUGUGGGUAUCAAACAGGAUUAGAUACCCUGGUAGUCCACACAGUAAACGAUGAAUACUCGCUGUUUGCGAUAUACAGUAAGCGGCCAAGCGAAAGCAUUAAGUAUUCCACCUGGGGAGUACGCCGGCAACGGUGAAACUCAAAGGAAUUGACGGGGGCCCGCACAAGCGGAGGAACAUGUGGUUUAAUUCGAUGAUACGCGAGGAACCUUACCCGGGCUUAAAUUGCAUUUGAAUAUAUUGGAAACAGUAUAGCCGUAAGGCAAAUGUGAAGGUGCUGCAUGGUUGUCGUCAGCUCGUGCCGUGAGGUGUCGGCUUAAGUGCCAUAACGAGCGCAACCCUUAUCUUUAGUUACUAACAGGUCAUGCUGAGGACUCUAGAGAGACUGCCGUCGUAAGAUGUGAGGAAGGUGGGGAUGACGUCAAAUCAGCACGGCCCUUACGUCCGGGGCUACACACGUGUUACAAUGGGGGGUACAGAAGGCAGCUACCUGGUGACAGGAUGCUAAUCCCAAAAGCCUCUCUCAGUUCGGAUCGAAGUCUGCAACCCGACUUCGUGAAGCUGGAUUCGCUAGUAAUCGCGCAUCAGCCAUGGCGCGGUGAAUACGUUCCCGGGCCUUGUACACACCGCCCG
rnacentral:rRNA from 1 species